rnacentral:rRNA from 1 species
CCUACGGGGGGCAGCAGUAGGGAAUAUUGCUCAAUGGGGGAAACCCUGAAGCAGCAACGCCGCGUGGAGGAUGAAGGUUUUCGGAUUGUAAACUCCUUUUGGUAGAGAGGAUAAUGACGGUAUCUAACGAAUAAGCACCGGCUAACUCCGUGCCAGCAGCCGCGGUAAUACGGAGGGUGCAAGCGUUAAUCGGAAUCACUGGGCGUAAAGAGCGCGUAGGCGGGUUAGCAAGUCAGAUGUGAAAUCCCAUGGCUUAACCAUAGAACUGCAUUUGAAACUGUCAUUCUAGAGUAUGGGAGAGGUAGGUGGAAUUCUAGGUGUAGGGGUAAAAUGCGUAGAGAUCAAGAGGAAUACUCAUUGCGAAGGCGACCUGCUAGAACAUGACUGACGCUGAUGCGCGAAAGCGUGGGGAGCAAACAGGAUUAGAUACCCCUGUAGUC